CUGGGCCGGCGCCUACACAUGCAGUCGAACGCAGUAGCAAUACUGAGUGGCAAACGGGUGAGUAUAAUGUGGGAAUCUGCCUUUUGGUUUGGAAUAACACGGGGAAACUUGUGCUAAUACCGAAUAAGCCCUUACGGGGAAAGUUUUAACGCCGAAAGAUGAGCCCGCACUUGAUUAGCUAGUUGGUAAGGUAAAAGCUUACCAAGGCAACGAUCAAUAGCUGUUCUUAGAGGAAGACCAGCCACAUUGGGACUGAGACACGGCCCAGACUCCUACGGGAGGCAGCAGUGGGGAAUCUUGCACAAUGGGGGAAACCCUGAUGCAGCGAUGCCGCGUGAGUGAAGAAGGCCCUUGGGUUGUAAAACUCUUUCGUCGGGGAAGAAAAUGACUGUACCCGAAUAAGAAGGUCCGGCUAACUUCGUGCCAGCAGCCGCGGUAAUACGAAGGGACCUAGCGUAGUUCGGAAUUACUGGGCUUAAAGAGCUCGUAGGUGGUUAAAAAAGUUGAUGGUGAAAUCCCAAGGCUUAACCUUGGAACUGCCAUCAAAACUUUUUAGCUAGAGUGUGAUAGAGGUAAGUGGAAUUUCUAGUGUAGAGGUGAAAUUCGUAGAUAUUAGAAAGAAUACCAAUUGCGAAGGCAGCUUUCUGGAUCAUUACUGACACUGAGGAACGAAAGCAUGGGUAGCGAAGAGGAUUAGAUACCCUCGUAGUCCAUGCCGUAAACGAUGUGUGUUAGACGUUGGAAAUUU
rnacentral:rRNA from 1 species